CCAGAAUCGCUCGAUGCAUCUCUUCGUGUUCUCCAAUUGUAUGCUGAAAUCUCGGGACUUAAGAUAAAUAUAGAAAAAACAAGUGUUAUUUGGAUAGGUAGCAAAAAACAUAGUCAGGAUCAAAUUUGUGUAAAGUGGGGAUUGAAAUGGGGCUCCAGUACAUUUAAACUACUUGGAAUUACUUUUUCAGUCGACCUAGAUAGAAUGAUUAAUUUAAAUUAUAGGCCAGUUUUAUAUAAUAUAGACAACACUUUGAAAAAAUGGUCAAAACAGUAUCUCACCCC
rnacentral:lncRNA from 1 species